AAGUCGUAACAAGGUAACCGUAGGUGAACCUGCGGUUGGAUCAUUACUGAUACUUGGUCUUGAGUUGAUACCGAAAGGAUUCCUCAUUUCCAUAUUCACCUCUUGUGCACUAAAUUGUCUUUUGGUAGUUUAUACCUUGGUAUAGGCUGCCAAACUUUUUAACAAACCAUAUCAACUUGUCUGAAAUUAUAUAAAAAUAUAAACAACUUUUGACAACGGAUCUCUUGGCUCUC
rnacentral:misc_RNA from 1 species